GAAAAAUGUUCAGGAAGUGAAGUCCAGAAGAUUGGCUUUUACAUUUGGAGAAGAAGGUUUGUUUACUGGUAGUGAAAAAAUGUUAACAGUUAAAGCUGUUACCUGUUGUCAAGUAAUACAACUGAGACGACAUUUACUUUUCAAAGUUGUAAGACAGCAUCCAGUUACUUUAGAAAGGGCUUGGUCAAAGAUGGACAAAAGCUGGAGAGAUUUUUCUAAAAAGAAAAAUUCAGAACUAC